rnacentral:rRNA from 1 species
AAACCAACAGGGAUUGCCCUAGUAACGGCGAGUGAAGCGGCAACAGCUCAAAUUUGAAAUCUGGCGUCUUUGGCGUCCGAGUUGUAAUUUGCAGAGGGCGCUUUGGCAUUGGCAGCGGUCCAAGUUCCUUGGAACAGGACGUCACAGAGGGUGAGAAUCCCGUACGUGGUCGCUANCCUUUACCGUGUAAAGCCCCUUCGACGAGUCGAGUUGUUUGGGAAUGCAGCUCUAAAUGGGAGGUAAAUUUCUUCUAAAGCUAAAUACUGGCCAGAGACCGAUAGCGCACAAGUAGAGUGAUCGAAAGAUGAAAAGCACUUUGGAAAGAGAGUUAAAAAGCACGUGAAAUUGUUGAAAGGGAAGCGCUUGCAGCCAGACUUGGCUGUAGUUGNUCAUCCGGGUUUUUACCCGGUGCACUCUUCUAUAGGCAGGCCAGCAUCAGUUUGGGCGGUUGGAUAAAGGUCUCUGUCACGUACCUCCUCUCGGGGAGAACUUAUAGGGGAGACGUAAUGCAACCAGCCUGGACUGAGGUCCGCCAUCUGCUAGGAUGCUGGCGUAAUGGCUGUAAGCG